rnacentral:rRNA from 1 species
GAUGAACGCUGGCGGCGUGCCUGACACAUGCAAGUCGAGCGAUUUACUUCGGUAAAGAGCGGCAGACGGGUGAGUAACACGUGGGAACCUUCCUAGAGGUACGGAACAACGCAGGGAAACUUGUGCUAAUACCGUAUACGCUCGAGAGAGGAAAGAUUUAUCGCCUUUAGACGGGCCCGCGUAGGAUUAGGUAGUUGGUGAGGUAACGGCUCACCAAGCCUACGAUCCUUAGCUGAUCUGAGAGGAUGAUCAGCCACACUGGGACUGAGACACGGCCCAGACUCCUACGGGAGGCAGCAGUGGGGAAUCUUGGACAAUGGGCGCAAGCCUGAUCCAGCCAUGCCGCGUGAGUGAAGAAGGCCUUCGGGUUGUAAAGCUCUUUUACCAGGGACGAUAAUGACGGUACCUGGAGAAUAAGCCCCGGCUAACUUCGUGCCAGCCGCCGCCGUAAUAC